CCUGGAACUCACUAUGUAGCCCAGGCUGGUCUGGAACUCAAGGUGAUCCUCCUGCCUCAGCCUCCUAAGUGCUGGGAU
rnacentral:miRNA from 1 species